AGAGUUUGAUCAUGGCUCAGGAUGAACGCUGGCGGCGUGCCUAACACAUGCAAGUCGAGCGAUUUUCUUCGGAAGAGAGCGGCGGACGGGUGAGUAACGCGUGGGUAACCUGCCUCAUACACAUGGAUAACAUACCGAAAGGUAUGCUAAUACAAGAUGAUAUAAGAGAUUCGCAUGGAUUUCUUAUCAAAAGCUCCGGCGGUAUGAGAUGGACCCGCGUCUGAUUAGCUAGUUGGUAAGGUAACAGCUUACCAAGGCGACGAUCAGUAGCCGACCUGAGAGGGUGAUCGGCCACAUUGGAACUGAGACACGGUCCAAACUCCUACGGGAGGCAGCAGUGGGGAAUAUUGCACAAUGGGCGAAAGCCUGAUGCAGCAACGCCGCGUGAGCGAUGAAGGCCUUCGGGUCGUAAAGCUCUGUCCUCAAGGAAGAUAAUGACGGUACUUGAGGAGGAAGCCCCGGCUGACUACGUGCCAGCAGCCGCGGUAAUACGUAGGGGGCUAGCGUUAUCCGGAUUUACUGGGCGUAAAGGGUGCGUAGGUGGUUUCUUAAGUCAGGAGUGAAAGGCUACGGCUCAACCGUAGUAAGCUCUUGAAACUGGGAAACUUGAGUGCAGGAGAGGAAAGUGGAAUUCCUAGUGUAGCGGUGAAAUGCGUAGAUAUUAGGAGGAACACCAGUAGCGAAGGCGGCUUUCUGGACUGUAACUGACACUGAGGCACGAAAGCGUGGGGAGCAAACAGGAUUAGAUACCCUGGUAGUCCACGCCGUAAACGAUGAGUACUAGGUGUCGGGGGUUACCCCCCUCGGUGCCGCAGCU
rnacentral:rRNA from 1 species